GGGCGGCUAGCUCAGUUGGUUAGAGCGCCAUCUUCACACGGUGGAAGUCACUGGUUCGAGUCCAGUGCCGCCCA
rnacentral:tRNA from 2 species